GCUUCUGUGGUCCAAUGGUUAGGAUUCCACCCUUCCAAGGUGGAGGUUCGUGU
rnacentral:tRNA from 1 species